UUUAAAGGUAUCCAUAUACAGCUAAGUGUGAAAUACUUUGUAAUAAAAGAUCGGAAAAGAGACUGUGAACAAAAAUAUAAGUAUUCUAUAUAAUAAAUUGUAAGCCAAACGUUUUCCACAAAACUGUAUUACCAAGUGGAAAGUCUGUAAACAGGUGGUACCCAUAACGAAUCUUAUGAGGGACAAAAA